CGUGCCUAAUACAUGCAAGUCGAGCGAUGAUUGAAGAUAGCUUGCUAUUUUCAUGAAGAGCGGCGAACGGGUGAGUAACGCGUGGGAAAUCUGCCGAGUAGCGGGGGACAACGUUUGGAAACGAACGCUAAUACCGCAUAACAAUGAGAAUCGCAUGAUUCUUAUUUGAAAGAAGCAAUUGCUUCACUACUUGAUGAUCCCGCGUUGUAUUAGCUAGUUGGUAGUGUAAAGGACUACCAAGGCGAUGAUACAUAGCCGACCUGAGAGGGUGAUCGGCCACACUGGGACUGAGACACGGCCCAGACUCCUACGGGAGGCAGCAGUAGGGAAUCUUCGGCAAUGGGGGCAACCCUGACCGAGCAACGCCGCGUGAGUGAAGAAGGUUUUCGGAUCGUAAAACUCUGUUGUUAGAGAAGAACGUUAAGUAGAGUGGAAAAUUACUUAAGUGACGGUAUCUAACCAGAAAGGGACGGCUAACUACGUGCCAGCAGCCGCGGUAAUACGUAGGUCCCAAGCGUUGUCCGGAUUUAUUGGGCGUAAAGCGAGCGCAGGUGGUUUCUUAAGUCUGAUGUAAAAGGCAGUGGCUCAACCAUUGUGUGCAUUGGAAACUGGGAGACUUGAGUGCAGGAGAGGAGAGUGGAAUUCCAUGUGUAGCGGUGAAAUGCGUAGAUAUAUGGAGGAACACCGGAGGCGAAAGCGGCUCUCUGGCCUGUAACUGACA
rnacentral:rRNA from 1 species